UUUUAGCCCCGAUUGAAUGGCCUGUUCAGCUCUCCCGAUUCAUCGGGAAGCGAGUAGUGAAAGCGGGUGGAAUA
rnacentral:misc_RNA from 1 species